AAAGAGGACGCUUUUAGAGGGUAACCUAUUUGUUAAGUUUUGGGUGCGCUUUUGAAGUGUUUUCUAAUAUAUUCAUGUAUACUUAAUGAAUUUUUUUUUUCUUUUCAGAAGCCCUCCUCCUUCAGAAACCCGUGCCUUGCUCCCUCUCUUUCAGAAAGCUUCACGCCACCACCACUCACCUUCGCUAACCACUACUCACCGUCACCCUUCUCCUUCGUCUUCACCUUUGCUCACCCUACUCUCUGUCGCCCUUCUCCUUCGUCUUCUCACCUUCGCUCACCACUCACCGAGACAUUGAAGCUCUUCUCUCUCAAAGAAAAACCCUAGCCACUGCUCUCUUCUUCAAGCUGUGUUGCCGCCGUCAAAUCUGGUCCAGCCACCGUCCCCACCCACACUGCUCCAGCGCCGUCGCAGCUCGUCUUUAUCGUCCCAUUACGUCGCCUCUGUUCCACGGCCGUUGUCUGUUCCAAUUCCAUCGCCUGUGCUCCACUGCUCCCUCUCCCUCAACUCGAGGCUAUUUCAAUAGUAAAUAAUGCAUGCUGGGCUAUUGGAGAACUUGCAGUUAAGGGACUCAACAAGUCACUCAUAGAGGGAAUAAAGAGGGAAGAGAGGAAUUGCUUGUAGUGUUACAGAGCCACAUUUAGAUCUUGAGGGUGACAAUGAGGAGGGUCAACAAGAUUUCACGUUCAGAAAUCAGAGGAGGAAUGGAGGGCCAUUCUCUGUCUGUCUCUGUCUGUCUCCCUCAUGAAUUCACAGACAGUAGAGAGAGGGCAAGGAAUAGAGGAAUAGCCAAAGCACCAGGGAGCAAAAACAGGAGUGUUCUUCAAGUUUUUGGCUCUUCAUCAACCAUAGCACCAAGUGAAAGAGAAUGAUGGCCAAGGAGGGAGCUGACUGAAGCUUAAGAGGGAGCUGCGUUCCACUCACCCAACUGUUCUUCGAGUUUCUUUGCUAGUUUAUUCAAUUUCUGUUAACACAACUACCACCACAAGCAAAGAGAGGUUUGGGCUCAAGAGAAAAACAGGGACAAGUCUUGUGUAUUUGAUCAACAAAGAGGUAAGGGUUAGAAUAGUUAGAUAUUGAUUUUAGUUGUAUUUGGUGAUUAAAUGGCAGAAACCUUUCCAUUGAGUAUGCUUAUUGACCAGUCAGCUGCUUGAUUCUUGGAUCUGUAUGUGAAUGAUUGUUGCUUUCUUAAUCAGCACAGUUUACUUUGGAGUGGUAAAUGGUAAUG